rnacentral:tRNA from 1 species
GCCUGGAUAGCUCAGUCGGGAGAGCAUGAGACUCUUGAUCCCAGGGUCAUGACUUCUAGUCCCAUGUUGGGCA